rnacentral:rRNA from 1 species
AGUGAAUAGAUACCCUGGUAGUCCGCACCGUAAACGAUGAUCACUUGGUGUUGGUGGUAUUGACCCCGUCAGUGCCGAAAGCUAACGCGUUAAGUGAUCCGCCUGGGAAGUACGGUCGCAAGAUUAAAACUCAAAGAAAUUGACGGGGGCCCGCACAAGCGGUGGAGCAUGUGGUUCAAUUCGAUGCAACGCGAAAACCUUACCUGGGUUUGAAGUGCUAGUGAAUGUGGUAGAGAUAUCACAGGCCUUCGGGACACUAGUAUCAGGUGCUGCAUGGCUGUCGUCAGCUCGUGUCGUGAGAUGUCGGGUUAAGUCCCAU